UAAUAGUGUUGAGGGAAGGUGUAAUGUAAAGGUGUAAUAGUGUUGAGGGAAGGUGUAAUAGUGUUGAGGGAAGGUGUAAUGUUAAAGGUGUAAUAGUGUUGAGGGAAGGUAUAAUGUAAAGGUGUAAUAGUGUUGAGGGAAGGUAUAAUGUAAAGGUGUAAUAGUGUUGAGGGAAGGUAUAAUGUAAAGGUGUAAUAGUGUUGAGGGAAGGUGUAAUGUAAAGGUGUAAUAGUUUUGAGGGAAGGUGUAAUAGUGUUGAGGGAAGGUGUAAUGUUAAAGGUGUAAUAGUUUUGAGGGAAGGUGUAAUAGUGUUGAUGGAAGGUAUAAUGUAAAGGUGUAAUAGUUUAAAGGGAAGGUAUAAUAUUGUUAAGGGAAGGUGUAAUGUUAAAGGUGUAAUAGUGUUGAUGGAAGGUAUAAUGUAAAGGUGUAAUAGUUUUGAGGGAAGGUGUAAUGUUAAAGGUGUAAUAGUGUUGAGGGAAGGUAUAAUGUAAAGGUGUAAUAGUGUUGAGGGAAGGUAUAAUGUAAAGGUGUAAUAGUGUUGAGGGAAGGUGUAAUAGUGUUGAGGGAAGGUGUAAUAGUGUUGAGGGAAGGUGUAAUGUAAAGGUGUAAUAGUUUUGA